UCGAGGGGCAUCAGGAAGAAAGCUUGCUUUCUUUGCUGGCGACCGGCGCACGGGUGAGUAACACGUAUCCAACCUGCCCUUUACUCGGGGAUAGCCUUUCGAAAGAAAGAUUAAUACCCGAUGGCAUAAUGAUUCCGCAUGGUUUCAUUAUUAAAGGAUUCCGGUAAAGGAUGGGGAUGCGUUCCAUUAGGUUGUUGGUGAGGUAACGGCCCACCAAGCCUUCGAUGGAUAGGGGUUCUGAGAGGAAGGUCCCCCACAUUGGAACUGAGACACGGUCCAAACUCCUACGGGAGGCAGCAGUGAGGAAUAUUGGUCAAUGGGCGCUAGCCUGAACCAGCCAAGUAGCGUGAAGGAUGAAGGCUCUAUGGGUCGUAAACUUCUUUUAUAUAAGAAUAAAGUGCAGUAUGUAUACUGUUUUGUAUGUAUUAUAUGAAUAAGGAUCGGCUAACUCCGUGCCAGCAGCCGCGGUAAUACGGAGGAUCCGAGCGUUAUCCGGAUUUAUUGGGUUUAAAGGGAGCGUAGGUGGACUGGUAAGUCAGUUGUGAAAGUUUGCGGCUCAACCGUAAAAUUGCAGUUGAUACUGUCAGUCUUGAGUACAGUAGAGGUGGGCGGAAUUCGUGGUGUAGCGGUGA
rnacentral:rRNA from 1 species